UCUUGGUCAAUUUAGAGGAAGUAAAAGUCGUAACAAGGUUUCCGUAGGUGAACCUGCGGAAGGAUCAUUACCGGGUCACGGGGGGGAAACCCCCCAACUCCCAACCCUUGCUUACCCACCACGUUGCUUCGGCGGGCCCGGGGCUCGGCCCCCGCCCUCGCGGGCGCGCGCCCGCCGGAGGCCGAUGAAACUCCAAUCACCGACUGUCCGAGCGAACGCAAAAACAAGUGAAAACUUUUAACAACGGAUCUCUUGGUUCUGGCAUCGAUGAAGAACGCAGCGAAAUGCGAUAAGUAAUGUGAAUUGCAGAAUUCAGUGAAUCAUCGAAUCUUUGAACGCACAUUGCGCCCCCCGGUAUUCCGGGGGGCAUGCCUGUUCGAGCGUCAUUUCACCAAUCAAGCCCGGCUUGGUAUUGGGCUCCGUCCCCCACACGGACGGGCCUCGAAGACCCCGGCCGCGCGGUCCCGCUUCAGGCGUAGCAGAGCUUUUGCAGCCUCGCCUUGGAAGCCGGUGGCCGCGUCGAGCCGCGCAAGCGAACCCUUUGCACAUCAAGGUUGACCUCGGAUCAGGUAGGGAUACCCGCUGAACUUAAGCAUAUCAAUAAGCGGAGGAA
rnacentral:rRNA from 1 species